UGGGGUAUCGUUCAAUGGCAGGACCCUGGUUUUUGGUACCAGUUAUCUAGGUUCGAAUCCUAGUACCCCAGCCA
rnacentral:tRNA from 3 species